CCUUCGAGCUAAGUUGGUAGAGCCGCGGACUGUAGUUGGUCACAGCUUUGAUCCCUAGGACACUUGUUCGAAUCCGGAUCGAAGGA